UGUGAAAUUGUGUAUGCGUUACAUGACACUGAGUGUGUAAAGUAUGAUAUAUUUAUUGCUCAAUGGGUGUGUGGGUGCAUACGGAUGCUUGUUUGCUACAGGGCUGCUGUAUUAGAGAGUGAUGAACUGCACUUCCUGUCAGCAUGGGCUCUUUACGUGUCAGUCUGCCACGCUGCCACUAGACUCUGGAUGUGGGACAGACAAACGCCCACGGAUACACUCACCAAGAUGAUUUUAUCUGACUUCAUGAACAUGGAACACUUCUCUUUUGUCCUUCUCCCUUCUUUGUAUUCUUUCUCUCACGCACGCGGUGUUCCUAUCAGAGCAUCAUCUUAAGGCAGAUGAAGGAGAGGAGGUGGUGCUGGACUGUUUCCUGCCCUGGCACGCUCUUGUAGUUGGGCAGACUGUGUACCAUUACUCCUGGCAUCCUGGAGAAAAGAAUCUGUGAGAUGACGGAGAGUAUGAAGCGUUGACAGAGGAGUCUAAAAUUGUCCUCAAUCAGCUGAAAGUCAAUGAGGAAGGCAUGUACCUGCCUCCUACAGGAUUAAAAGGGUACUGUGCUGUCCGCAUGUACUUCAUACUGAAAGGUAGGCGACAUUUAUUGAAUUUAAUAACUCAUUGCAGUCUAGAUUUGUCCUCCUUUCAUCUGUCUCUCUUUCCCUCAGUCAACCCACUGCUGUCUACAAGCCCUAGACUGAUUGUGGCUUUGCUGUCCCUGCCCUCGGCUUAUGAUACCAUACCACACUUCUCGGCCUUCAGAGGAGCAGUCUCAUCAUUAUAGUGAUUUUACUGUACUCGGCAUCACAGGCAGCCUUGUCAUCAUAGCGAACCUCAGAGACAAGUGACAUCAUGGGAGGCAAGAAACAAUGCCAGAGAAAACACAGGUUUAACAGUUCUUCCAAAACAUUUUUUCUUUUUUUUUUUAAACUAAACUGAUUACAUUAUCUUUUUUAUUCGUCCAGCUUUCUGGCUUGAAUGGGUUAUUUGUUUCUCUGGAACAAAACAUAGAAUACAAAACAGAACACGUACAUAGAAUAAGUUUUGAUUUUCACUGGAUUACUCAUCAACUUCCUUUAUGAGACACAGACGGUUUGAUUAAAUAAACAUGGAGGA